GCCACCGGGACAGAAUGUAAAGAAGGUCCCUUCAAGUUAGAAUCUUUAACCCAGGCCAGAUAAUAGAGACACCCCUUGGAGAUUAAUCUCCGAGCGCUAAUAUAUGACCUUACGGGUUCGAUGGUCUAAAAAAGCAUAGCACGAGUGCAUCCAAUCCAUCCACAGUAUGACAUCAAAGUCAACCAUGUCUAACUCUAUCGAUUCCACCAGAUUUUACCUAUUACCAACAGAUACAACACCCCCCC
rnacentral:lncRNA from 1 species